UGGCUCAGCGGUUAAGAGCACUGGUGGCUCUUCCAGAGGUUCUGAGUUCAAUUCUCAG
rnacentral:tRNA from 1 species